rnacentral:rRNA from 1 species
CCUACGGGAGGCAGCAGUGGGGGAUAUUGCACAAUGGGGGGAACCCUGAUGCAGCGACGCCGCGUGGGUGAAGGAGCGUUUCGGCGCGUAAAGCCCUAUCGGCAGGGACGAAGGUGCCGGUACCUGACCAAGAAGCCCCGGCUAACUACGUGCCAGCAGCCGCGGGAAGACGUAGGGGGCAAGCGUUAUCCGGAUGUACUGGGUGUCAAGGGGGAGCAGACGGCAAUGCAAGCCAGGAGUGAAAGCCCGGGGCUCAACCCCGGGACUGCUCUUGGAACUGCAUGGCUGGAGUACAGGAGGGGCAGGCGGAAUGCCUAGUGUAGCGGUGAAAUGCGUAGAUAUUAGGAGGAACACCGGUGGCGAAGGCGGCCUGCUGGACUGUGACUGACGUUGAGGCCCGAAGGCGUGGGGAGCAAACAGGAUUAGAUACCCUUGUAGUC